UACGUAGGGUGCAAGCGUUGUCCGGAAUUAUUGGGCGUAAAGAGCUCGUAGGCGGCUUGUUGCGUCGGCUGUGAAAACCCAUGGCUCAACCGUGGGCUUGCAGCCGAUACGGGCAGGCUAGAGUUCGGUAGGGGAGACUGGAAUUCCUGGUGUAGCGGUGAAAUGCGCAGAUAUCAGGAGGAACACCGAUGGCGAAGGCAGGUCUCUGGGCCACUACUGACGCUGAGAAGCGAAAGCAUGGGGAGCGAACAGG
rnacentral:rRNA from 1 species